AGGAAGCCGGUGGGAAUCCGGCGCGGUCCCGCCACCGUAACCGGGGAGCGAACCCUCACCGUGUGUCACGGACGUGUAGGCGUCCGGAAGGCCGAGGGGGAGCACUGAUCCGGGAGCCGGGAUACU
rfam:Frankia symbiont of Datisca glomerata, complete genome.